UAAGGAAUAUUGGUCAAUGGACGCAAGUCUGAACCAGCCAUGCCGCGUGAAGGAUGAAGGUCCUCUGGAUUGUAAACUUCUUUUAUCUGGGACGAAACCCGGGAAUUCUUUCCCGAUUGACGGUACCAGAGGAAUAAGCACCGGCUAACUCCGUGCCAGCAGCCGCGGUAAUACGGAGGGUGCAAGCGUUAUCCGGAUUCACUGGGUUUAAAGGGAGCGUAGGAGGGCAGGUAAGUCAGUGGUGAAAUCUUCGAGCUUAACUCGGAAACUGCCGUUGAUACUAUCUGUCUUGAAUACCGUGGAGAUGAGCGGAAUAUGUCAUGUAGCGGUGAAAUGCUUAGAUAUGACAUAGAACACCGAUUGCGAAGGCAGCUCGUUACACGAUUAUUGACUCUGAGGCUCGAAAGCGUGGGGAUCAAACAGG
rnacentral:rRNA from 1 species